rnacentral:rRNA from 1 species
UACGUAGGGGGCGAGCGUUAUCCGGAUUUAUUGGGCGUAAAGCGCGCGCAGGCGGUCAGGUAAGUCGGAUGUGAAAGGCUACGGCUCAACCGUAGAGCGGCAUCCGAAACUGUUUGACUUGAGUGCAGGAGAGGAGAGUGGAAUUCCCGGUGUAGCGGUGGAAUGCGUAGAGAUCGGGAGGAACACCAGUGGCGAAGGCGACUCUCUGGACUGUAACUGACGCUGAGGCGCGAAAGCGUGGGGAGCAAACAGGAUUAGAAACCCCCGUAGUCC